AUUGCACGCUGGCGGCAGGCCUAACACAUGAAAGUCGAACGAGCGGCGGACGGGUGAGUAAUGCCUGGGGAUCUGGCUUAUGGAGGGGGAUAACUACUGGAAACGGUAGCUAAUACCGCAUACCAUCAGAUGAGCCCAUAUGGGAUUAGCUAGUCGGUGAGGUAACGGCUCACCAAGGCGACGAUCCCUAGCUGGUCUGAGAGGAUGACCAGCCAAACUGGGACUGAGACACGGCCCAGACUCCUACGGGAGGCAGCAGUGGGGAAUAUUGCGCAAUGGGCGCAAGCCUGAUGCAGCCAUGCCGCGUGUAGGAAGAAGGCCUUCGGGUGGUAAAGUACUUUCGGUAGGGAGGCGUUACCGACAGAAGAAGCACCGGCUAACUCCGUGCCAGCAGCCGCGGUAAUAC
rnacentral:rRNA from 1 species